AGCUAGUUGGUGAGGUAAUGGCUCACCAAGGCGACGAUGCGUAGCCGACCUGAGAGGGUGAUCGGCCACACUGGGACUGAGACACGGCCCAGACUCCUACGGGAGGCAGCAGUAGGGAAUCUUCCGCAAUGGACGAAAGUCUGACGGAGCAACGCCGCGUGAACGAAGAAGGCCUUCGGGUCGUAAAGUUCUGUUGUUAGGGAAGAACAAGUACCAGAGUAACUGCUGGUACCUUGACGGUACCUAACCAGAAAGCCACGGCUAACUACGUGCCA
rnacentral:rRNA from 1 species